AACGCGAAGAACCUUACCUAGACUUGACAUCUCCUGAAUUACUCGUAACUGAGGAAAUCCCUUCGGGGACAGGAAGACAGGUGGUGCAUGGUUGUCGUCAGCUCGUGUCGUGAGAUGUUGGGUUAAGUCCCGCAACGAGCGCAACCCUUAUCAUUAGUUGCUAACAUUUAGUUGAGCACUCUAGUGAGACUGCCUGGGUUAACCAGGAGGAAGGUGGGGAUGACGUCAAAUCAUCAUGCCCCUUAUGUCUAGGGCUACACACGUGCUACAAUGGUGGGGACAAAGAGAUGCAAUACCGCAAGGUGGAGCCAAACUCAAAACCCUAUCCCAGUUCGGAUUGUAGGCUGAAACUCGCCUACAUGAAGCCGGAGUUGCUAGUAAUCGCGAAUCAGAAUGUCGCGGUGAAUACGUUCCCGGGUCUUGUACACACGC
rnacentral:rRNA from 1 species